rnacentral:miRNA from 7 species
GUGGGCAUGGUGGGGAUGGGUUGGGGUUGGGCU